rnacentral:lncRNA from 1 species
ACAUCUGGUGUUAAAAUGAAAUGCUAUAAGCGAUAUCAAUGUUUAGAAAAGAUUGUAUACCUAGCUGUCUAGUAAGCUGGAAAUCUAGCAUUACCUUUACAUAAUGAUUUUUUCUGUCCAAAGAAAGGAGUGUUUUCCAUAAUUGUCCAUUGUCAAAUCAUCAAGUUUUUCUUAUAUUUUAAUACUUACAUGUAAAUAACAGAUAUGUGCAUAUGUUCUGUUAUGUUAACUUUAGAUGUUGCUUCUUGCAUGUUCUACAGUC